rnacentral:lncRNA from 1 species
UCCAAGCUGCAGCCCAAGACAAUAGCAGCCCAAGGGUAGCUGCUAUAUUUAUUUGUCGUAUUGGUUUGUAUAGGAGUGAGGGGCACACAUGUAAUUUCACACACACACAUUACAUUUUUUUAAUUGUUUUGUAUAUAGAGAAGCGGAAGCUUCGAGACAAAAGGGAAGAAAAUCAUUUUCAAUACAUUUCAGAUUUUUCUCUCUUCUCUUUCCUUUUAGACUGUUCUUCUUCUUCUUCCUUUCUUUCUUCAAUCCGACGAGCUACAAUGUUGACAUGGUAUCAGAGCGGGAUAUUCUUGCUCUCUUCGUCAUCAGCUUUCGAUCGAUGUUACCCUCGUCGAUUUUCAUCCGUGCUUCUGUUGAAUCCCAAAUUCUAGGGUUUUUGUUCGGUUAGUUUUUCGACUAAAUACUUACAUUUUUUGUUUGUUAAACUUGUUGUCUAGUGUGUUUACAUCAUAUAGUGUAAUUUUGUUGUUGAUUUUUCUGUAUUUUUUUUUAUAAGAAAUUAGUUGUGGUUCUGUUGAGUGUAAACAUCAUCUGUAGUCAAAAAUGGUGGAUGUGGUUGAUGAUUCCUCUUCUGCUCCUACUAGUUUUGUCCCUAGCCCCACAAAUCCUCUGUUUCUAAUGUCAUCCGAUGUCCCUGGUAUUUCUUUGGUCACUAAUCCCUUCUCAGGGAUUGGUUUUGGGGGUUGGAGGAGAAAUGUAAUAGUCUCCUUGUCCGCUAGAAACAAAAUAGGUUUUAUUGAUGGUUCUGUGCCUAAACCUUCUGAGGAUUCCCCACAAUUUAGACAGUGGGAUAGGUGCAAUAAUAUGGUCAUUUCGUGGCUCACAAAUUCCCUUACCCCUGAAAUAGCAGAGAGUGUCCAGUACUCUGACACUGCUCAUAGUAUCUGAGUUCAACUCAACAAUAGGUAUGGGUCAGUUGAUGGUACGAAGAUUUUUAAAGUAAAACAACAACUUGCUUCCACUACUCAGGGUCCUUUAGACAUAGCUUCUUAUUUCAAUAAAUUGAAGAAGUUGUGGGAUGAAUUGAGUUUUAUGAGAACCUCGAGGAGUGUUGUAUCUACUUGUGGUGUUGCAUGUAGUGCUAGAGCUGAAAUUCAGAAGGAAGAUGAUGAAAAUAAGUUGCACCAGUUUCUUAUGGGGCUGAAUGACAUAUAUAUAGGUGUUAGAAGUAAUAUCCUCAUGAUGCAACCCCCUCCCUCAUUGGACAGUGCUUAUAACAUACUCCUUCAGGAUGAGAGGCAAAGACAAGUCACCCAUUCACCUUCCCAAUUCCAUACUGAAUCCAGUGCCUUUAACACUCAAUCUCUGAAAAAACCCUAUGGAACAUAUUCAAACCCUAAACAUUUCAAUCAGAAAAUUAGAUUUGACACCAAUAAAACAGACCUAAUGUGUAGAUAUUGCAAGAAGCCAGGUCAUCUAAUUGAGAAAUGCUACAAGCUACAUGGUUUUCCCCCAGACUUCAAAUUCACUAGGGACAAAAGAACUGCUGCAACUGCUAAUGUACAGAAGAGUAUAGAUACUGCUGUCAAUGUUGAUACAUCUGAUGUGGGUGAGAAUGGACAAAGUUCUUCUACUUCAAACUAUGGUCUUCCUGGGUUGACAAAGGAACAAUAUUCACAGCUCUUGAAUCUGCUCCAACAAACUCAACUUUCUGAAUCUCAACAUCAGUCAACUGUGAUGGGUUCUGCAAACUUUGCUGGUACACUUUCUUCUUCUAUACAACCUUUAAAAGAUGUGUCUUAUGGUGCUUGCAUGUUGACUAGAGUUAAUACAUGUAUUUGGAUUAUUGACUCUGGUGCCACUGACCAUAUGACUUCAAAUAAAUCCCUUCUUUUUGACAUCAAACCCCUAGUUAUACCAUACUUAGUCACCCUUCCUAAUGGUUACAAAGUUAAGGUCACAUGUACUGGUUCUCUUAAGUUUCUUUGUUUCACUUUGCAUCAUGUACUAUACAUUCCCAGUUUUCAAUACAAUCUUAUUUCUGUUUCCAAGCUUGUUCAACAGUUGAAUUCUAUUGUCCUAUUUACCAAAUUUUCUUGUCUAAUACAGGCCCCUUCUCUGAAGAGGCCACUGGAAAUUGGUAAACUGGAUGAUGGUCUUUACAGGCUUGUACAAUCAUCUCUUUCUACUCCUCAAUCUCACCAUUCCCCAUUAACUGUUAAUUCUCCUUCUCAUUGUACUUUUCAUACUGAAUUGAAUAAAAUAGAAAUAUUGUGGCAUAAUAGACUUGGACACAUCCCCUUUGUUAGAAUGAAAGACAUAUCCCCUAUUCCAUGUAAAUUUGCAAAUAAACAACCUUUUAUAUGUACUAUUUGUCCAUUAGCAAGGCAAUCUAGGCUGUCCUUUCCUGACAGUUCUAUCAAAACAUCCCAACCUUUUCAAAUUAUCCAUUUGGACACAUGGGGGCCUUAUGCCACCCCUACUUACAAUGGUUGCAAAUAUUUUUUGACCAUAGUUGAUGACUAUACAAGGGCUACUUGGACUCACCUUAUGGGGUCCAAGAGCAAUGCUUUUUCAGUUAUCCAAGCAUUUGUUGGAUGGUUGCAAAUAUUUUUUGACCGUAGUUGAUGACUAUACAAUGGCUACUUGGACUCACCUUAUGGGGUCCAAGAGCAAUGCUUUUUCAGUUAUCCAAGCAUUUGUUGCCAUGGUAAAAACACAGUUCCAGGCUGUUGUCCAAACAAUUAGAAGUGAUAAUGCACUUGAACUUGGGUCCAGUCAUGCUGGAACCAAAUUCUUCACUGACAAUGGCAUCCUUCACCAAACAUCUUGCUCUCACACUCCACAACAAAAUGGUGUUGUUGAGAGAAAGCAUAGAUACCUUUUAGAAACAGCCAGAGCUUUGCUUUUCCAGUCCAAACUGCCUCUCAGAUUUUGGGGGGAUUGUGUCCUUACUGCCACAUAUCUAAUCAAUAGAUUUCCCUCUAAACUUCUUAAUAAUUCUUCUCCUUUUGAAUUACUGUUUGGAAGGAGUCCCUCUUACCUCCAUCUCAAAACUUUUGGUUGCCUUUGUUUUGCUUCUGUUCCUAAGCCACAUAGAGACAAGUUUCAGCCAAGGGCUGAUCCUUGUGUGUUCAUAGGCUAUCCCCUGGGAAAAAAGGGUUACAGGUUAUAUAACUUGAAAACUAAACUUACUUUCAUCUCCAGGGAUGUUGUUUUUCAUGAAGAGAUUUUUCCUUUUGCUUUUCCUUGGAGUACUUCCUCUGUUCCAUCUUCUAUCCCUUCUCCAUGCCAUGAUUAUCCUCCUUCUGAUGACACAUCUGUCACAUAUCCAGACUGUCCUCCUUCUGGUGAUGUUCCUUCACUAAACUCUUCCCCUUCCAUCCCUACUUCUACCUCUCCUUCACCUCCUUCUGAUAAUAUACCUUUGUGUACUCCUGAUCCCAUUCCUCCUCCUGCAGCCCAUCUACCUGCUCCUAGGAGAUCUGGCAGGCAACACACCACACCUGCCCAUCUUCAACAAUAUAUAUGUGACCUACCCCCUUCCAUUUCUGGCACCAGUUCAUUUUCCACUUGCUGCACUAGCUCUGUUAAUUCUGCACUAGUUGAGCCUACAUCUUACCAUCAAGCAGCUUCUAAUCCUGCUUGGCAGGCUGCAAUGACCAAAGAGUUUGAGGCAUUAGCAGCCAAUAAUACAUGGUCUUUGGUCCCACUUCCUUCUGGGAAGAAGCCUAUUGGGUGCAAAUGGGUUUACAAGAUCAAGUAUAGGGCUGAUGGGAGUGUGGAGAGGUAUAAGGCUAGAUUGGUGGUCAGAGGUGAUACUCAAAUUGAGGGAGUGGACUACACUGAUACAUUCUCUCCUGUUGUGAAAUUUUCUACUAUCAAAACCUUGGUUGCAGUUGCUGUGAAACAGUCCUGGCCUUUGUUUCAACUGGAUGUUAAUAAUGCAUUUCUCCAUGGUGAUCUCAAUGAAGAGGUAUAUAUGAAAUUGCCUCCUGGUCUUACAGUUUCUUCCUCUUCUUCUUCUUCUCCUUCUUUUUCUUCUUCUCCUCCUAUUGUCUGCCUUCUUCAGAAAUCUUUAUAUGGCCUAAAACAAGCCUCUAGGCAAUGGUAUGCCAAACUUUCCGAAGCCUUAUGCUCUAAAGGCUACUCUACCUCUCUCAAUGAUUACUCUCUUUUUAAUAAGAAAUCUGGUGAUUCUACUGUUCUCUUAGCUGUAUAUGUUGAUGAUAUAAUUCUAACUGGUAAUGAUCCUGAGGAAAUCUCUGCUUUAAAAUCCUUCUUAGACUCUGCUUUCAAGAUAAAGGACCUGGGCAUUCUCAACUAUUUUCUUGGCAUUGAAGUUGCCUAUUUAGCUGAUGGGCUUCUUCUUCAUCAGAAGAAGUUCAUCACUGACCUUCUUUUUACCUACAACUGUUCUGAUGUUACUCCUGUGACCUGUCCUCUCAUUGGGCUUCUUCUUCAUCAGAAGAAGUUCAUUACUGACCUUCUUUUUACCUACAACUGUUUUGAUGUUACUCCUGUGACCUGUCCUCUCAAUCUUUCUGUUAAACUAAAGCAUGACAUGGGCAUCCCUCUUUCCUCUCCUGAAUCUUACAGAAGCCUAGUUGGCAAACUUAACUUCCUCACUCAUACAAGGCCUGAUUUGGCCUUUGCUGUGCAACAUCUUAGCCAAUUUCUUCAGANNN